CUAAUGUUUUUCCAAUUUCAUUUUUAUCAAAUUCAUCGUAAUUUUUGUUUUCCCAAUUGGGUUUAGUUUUGAUGUGAUGAUAAGCAAUUGACACCCUGUCUCACUUGUAUCUUUUGAUGCAGUAUGGUGAGCCAUUGAUCGACUAUCUGAUCCUCUUUGGCUAAAAGAAAUCCAAAUAAAAUGGAAUUGUUCUAUUCAUGUGUACGUGUAUGCAUUUGUGUGGUGUUAUCUGUGUCUUACUGUCUCUGUUUAUUCUACCAAGACUUUCAAGGGAUAUGAUGAUGCUUUUUGACACC
rnacentral:misc_RNA from 1 species